rnacentral:rRNA from 1 species
CAGGCUUAACACAUGCAAGUCGAGGGGCAUCAGGAAGAAAGCUUGCUUUCUUUGCUGGCGACCGGCGCACGGGUGAGUAACACGUAUCCAACCUGCCCUUUACUCGGGGAUAGCCUUUCGAAAGAAAGAUUAAUACCCGAUGGCAUAAUGAUUCCGCAUGGUUUCAUUAUUAAAGGAUUCCGGUAAAGGAUGGGGAUGCGUUCCAUUAGGUUGUUGGUGAGGUAACGGCUCACCAAGCCUUCGAUGGAUAGGGGUUCUGAGAGGAAGGUCCCCCACAUUGGAACUGAGACACGGUCCAAACUCCUACGGGAGGCAGCAGUGAGGAAUAUUGGUCAAUGGGCGCUAGCCUGAACCAGCCAAGUAGCGUGAAGGAUGAAGGCUCUAUGGGUCGUAAACUUCUUUUAUAUAAGAAUAAAGUGCAGUAUGUAUACUGUUUUGUAUGUAUUAUAUGAAUAAGGAUCGGCUAACUCCGUGCCAGCAGCCGCGGUAAUACGGAGGAUCCGAGCGUUAUCCGGAUUUAUUGGGUUUAAAGGGAGCGUAGGUGGACUGGUAAGUCAGUUGUGAAAGUUUGCGACUCAACCGUAAAAUUGCAGUUGAUACUGUCAGUCUUGAGUACAGUAGAGGUGGGCGGAAUUCGUGGUGUAGCGGUGAAAUGCUUAGAUAUCACGAAGAACUCCGAUUGCGAAGGCAGCUCACUGGACUGCAACUGACACUGAUGCUCGAAAGUGUGGGUAUCAAACAGGAUUAGAUACCCUGGUAGUCCACACAGUAAACGAUGAAUACUCGCUGUUUGCGAUAUACAGUAAGCGGCCAAGCGAAAGCAUUAAGUAUUCCACCUGGGGAGUACGCCGGCAACGGUGAAACUCAAAGGAAUUGACGGGGGCCCGCACAAGCGGAGGAACAUGUGGUUUAAUUCGAUGAUACGCGAGGAACCUUACCCGGGCUUAAAUUGCAGUGGAAUGAUGUGGAAACAUGUCAGUGAGCAAUCACCGCUGUGAAGGUGCUGCAUGGUUGUCGUCAGCUCGUGCCGUGAGGUGUCGGCUUAAGUGCCAUAACGAGCGCAACCCUUAUCUUUAGUUACUAACAGGUUAUGCUGAGGACUCUAGAGAGACUGCCGUCGUAAGAUGUGAGGAAGGUGGGGAUGACGUCAAAUCAGCACGGCCCUUACGUCCGGGGCUACACACGUGUUACAAUGGGGGGUACAGAAGGCAGCUAGCGGGUGACCGUAUGCUAAUCCCAAAAGCCUCUCUCAGUUCGGAUCGAAGUCUGCAACCCGACUUCGUGAAGCUGGAUUCGCUAGUAAUCGCGCAUCAGCCACGGCGCGGUGAAUACGUUCCCGGGCCUUGUACACACCGCCCGUCAAGCCAUGGGAGCCGGGGGUACCUGAAGUACGUAACCGCAAGGAUCGUCCUAGGGUAAAACUGGUGACUGGGGCUAAGUC